CUGCCCCUCCCUCUGCGCUGGAACCUCCCCACCCUGCUGUCCACCCCAGCUGCCUGCGACUGCGGGGACCACUCUUCUGCACACGGAAAUGCGGCUGCAGGACCAGCAGCUGGCGAGACAGCUCAUGCGCCUGCGCAGCGACAUCAACAAGCUGAAAAUCGAGCACACCUGCCGCCUCCACAGGAGGAUGCUCAACGACGCCACCUACGAGCUGGAGGAGCGGGACGAGCUGGCCGACCUCUUCUGUGACUCCCCUCUUGCCUCCUCCUUCAGCCUCUCCACGCCACUCAAGCUUAUUGGCGUGACCAAGAUGAACAUCAACUCUCGGAGGUUCUCUCUCUGCUGAGGAGCCCUCAGACUGGGCGGAGGGCUUGGGCUGGAGGGGUGUUAGAGGAAGCUGAGGCCAAGUUACUCCAGUGGGUCUCCCAGAGGCAGGGGUCCCUGGGACUGGCAACACAAGGGCCCCAGGACCUAUUCAGUGGUGCUCUCCCAGGGGCCCUGGGUGUGGAUGCCAGUGUCUCUGUGACUGGCUCUUGCUUAAUACCCAAAGAGCUCUGCAGAAGGGCUGCUCCAACCAGAUGUUAAAUGAGACCUGGGUUCCCACCAUAAUCCAUCCCUCCACAGUCACGUUCCUGUUUCCCGGAAUCACUGGUGCUAUGAACUGGGAUUCCCAAAGGGAGGCCCCCCCAGCAAAGCUGUCAUUCUUGCAGAAGGCUCUCCCGCAAGGGCCUUGGGGAAAUUAGGUAUGUCAGAUGUGCCUGUCUCACGUGCUGUUGCUGUCCUGUAAGUAUUGUCUCAAAUUCACCCUAAGUACAUGACUCAGCAACAUUGACAGGGAGCUACUAGGAAGGGAAAAUCGAAAGGCAUGACAAAUGGGCACUUGGGGAGGCAGCCCCAAUGGCUAGCAGCCAGUGUCUCUGGUGAGCCUGACACUACGAGGCUGUGUAAAUUGUAAAUUCUGGCGUGUGCUGGGACAUGUGAUGGGGACACUAGCGUAGCUUGGGUGCAACAAGCACAGAUGUCCCCAUUGUCUCCCCUGGCCACAUGCAUCUCCAAAGAGCCUCUUCACUGCCACCCACACCCCAGGGCGACAGCCUAGGAGACCACUGGUGACUGAACCAGGCAGGUCCUGAAAGCAUUUUCCAUAACUGAAUUCUCCUGGAGGGGUGUGACUGGGGCCUCCUGGUGGAUUCUCGUGGUGUCACCUUACUGCCCUCUCCGGAAAGACAAUCGAAGGAGCCCAGAGGCCCAUCCUGAGCCGCCUCUGAGAUUUUGUGCCUGACCUAAACAACUAGUUUUAAUCGAAUAAGA
rnacentral:sRNA from 1 species